UACGUAGGGUGCGAGCGUUGUCCGGAUUCAUUGGGCGUAAAGAGCUCGUAGGUGGUUUGUCGCGUUGUCCGUGAAAACUCACAGCUCAACUGUGGGCGUGCGGGCGAUACGGGCAGACUGGAGUACUGCAGGGGAGACUGGAAUUCCUGGUGUAGCGGUGGAAUGCGCAGAUAUCAGGAGGAACACCGGUGGCGAAGGCGGGUCUCUGGGCAGUAACUGACGCUGAGGAGCGAAAGCGUGGGGAGCGAACAGG
rnacentral:rRNA from 1 species